rnacentral:rRNA from 1 species
GAUGAACGCUGGCGGCGUGCCUAAUACAUGCAAGUCGAGCGAACAGACGAGGAUCUUGCUCCUCUGACGUUAGCGGCGGACGGGUGAGUAACACGUGGAUAACCUACCUAUAAGACUGGGAUAACUUCGGGAAACCGGAGCUAAUACCGGAUAAUAUAUUGAACCUCAUGGUUCAAUAGUGAAAGACGGUUUUGCUGUCACUUAUAGAUGUAUCCGCGCCGCAUUAGCUAGUUGGUAAGGUAACGGCUUACCAAGGCAACGAUGCGUAGCCGACCUGAGAGGGUGAUCGGCCACACUGGAACUGAGACACGGUCCAGACUCCUACGGGAGGCAGCAGUAGGGAAUAUUCCGCAAUGGGCGAAAGCCUGACGGAGCAACGCCGCGUGAGUGAUGAAGGUCUUCGGAUCGUAAAACUCUGUUAUUAGGGAAGAACAAAUGUGUAAGUAACUAUGCACGUCUUGACGGUACCUAAUCAGAAAGCCACGGCUAACUACGUG